AAACCAACAGGGAUUGCCCUAGUAACGGCGAGUGAAGCGGCAACAGCUCAAAUUUGAAAUCUGGCGCAAGCCCGAGUUGUAAUUUGUAGAGGAUGCUUCUGGGCAGCGGCCGUUCUAAGUUCCUUGGAACAGGACGUCAUAGAGGGUGAGAAUCCCGUAUGUGACCGGCACGUACCCUCCACGUAGCUCCUUCGACGAGUCGAGUUGUUUGGGAAUGCAGCUCUAAAUGGGAGGUAAAUUUCUUCUAAAGCUAAAUACCGGCCAGAGACCGAUAGCGCACAAGUAGAGUGAUCGAAAGAUGAAAAGCACUUUGGAAAGAGAGUUAAAAAGCACGUGAAAUUGUUGAAAGGGAAGCGCUUACAACCAGACUUCGUGGCGGUGUUCCGCCGGUCUUCUGACCGGUCUACUCGCCGCCGCGAGGCCAGCAUCGUCUGGGGCCGCCGGAUAAGACCUUGGGAAUGUAGCUUGCCUCGGUAAGUGUUAUAGCCCAUGGUGAUGCGGCGUGCCUCGGGCGAGGUCCGCGCUUCGGCAAGGAUGCUGGCGUAAUGGUUGUCAGCGGCCCGUCUUGA
rnacentral:rRNA from 1 species